rnacentral:rRNA from 1 species
UACAGAGGUUUCAAGCGUUGUUCGGAUUCAUUGGGCGUAAAGGGUGCGUAGGCGGCGCGGUAAGUCGGGUGUGAAAUCUCGGAGCUUAACUCCGAAACUGCAUUCGAUACUGCCGUGCUUGAGGACUGGAGAGGAGACUGGAAUUUACGGUGUAGCGGUGAAAUGCGUAGAUAUCGUAAGGAAGACCAGUGGCGAAGGCGGGUCUCUGGACAGUUCCUGACGCUGAGGCACGAAGGCCAGGGGAGCAAGCGGG